rnacentral:rRNA from 1 species
UACGUAGGGUGCGAGCGUUAAUCGGAAUUACUGGGCGUAAAGCGUGCGCAGGCGGUUUUGUAAGCCAGGUGUGAAAUCCCCGGGCUCAACCUGGGAAUGGCCUAUGUGACUGGCAGGCUAGAGGAUGGCAGAGGGAGGCGGAAUGCCACGUGUAGCAGUGAAAUGCGUAGAGAUGUGGCGGAACACCGAUGGCGAAGGCAGCCUCCUGGGCCAAUCCUGACGCUCAGGCACGAAAGCGUGGGGAGCAAACAGG